rnacentral:rRNA from 1 species
AUGCCGGCGGCCAGCUCCCGCCCUUCCCUUUCCUCGGCUCCCUCCGCGCGUCUCUCACGGCCACGAGAUGGACAUGCCGUGGGUCGUGGUGCCACCCAUCCAGCGCGUGAGGUUCGUCGUCGCGGAGAUGGACGACGCGGACGCGAGAAAGCUUGCCGCGGACGCGGACCACGAAGUGGACGCGUUCAGGGCGUUCACCCCGGAGCUCCAGACCGAUGCCCUACCCGCGGAGGUCCUGGCCGUGCGGGUGACGCGGCUCAAGGGCGGGGUCGCGGUCGGCGUGGCGGUGCACCACGCCGUGGCCGACGGCCGGUCUCUGUGGAGGUUCCUGGAGGCGUGGGCAGGGGCGUGCCGCGGGGACGACGCUGUCCUGGUCGCGGCGCCGCCGACGUUCGACCGCCCGGACGUCGCGCUACCUGCCGGCGGCGAGGAGCUCGUGAGGAGCACGCUUCGCAAGUACGCGCCCCAUCUGCCACUGGCCAACCCGCAGUUCGGCAGGAACCCAAUCAAUAUGCCUCGCCGAACGUUCACCCUCGCAGCGCGGCUCAUCCACCGCCUGAAGCAACGCAUCGUCAAUCUCACAACCUCGGUUCCAUCAGUGCACCCACCAUGGCGGUGCCGUCAAGCUUCGUGGCCAUCACUGCGCUCACCUGGGUUUCCUUUGUCCGGUCCAAGCACCUGGACACCAUCUCCGACGCUGACGACGUCUACCUCCUCUUCUUCUUCGACUGCCGAGGGCGGCGCGGCAUCGACCCGCAGGUGAGCGACAACUACUUCGGGACAUGCAUCACCGGGUUCCUUGUCAAGGCUACGACGUCCGAGCUCCUCGCGGAGGACGGGGUCGCUGUGGCGGCGGCGGCACUUCAGGGGGAGGUCCGGCGGGCGGCGGAGAACCCGGUCUCCGGGUGGAACUGGUUGGACCUGUUCUCCUGGUUGCCACAGGACCGGCUGGUAAACGUCUCUGGUUCAACGCGGUUCCCUGCGUACGAGGUGGCCGACUUUGGGUGGGGCGCGCCAAGCAGGACGGAGCUAGUCAGUGUGAACAACGGGCAGGUGGUACUCAUCGCCGCGAAGGGGGGCUGCGGCGGCGUGCAGGCGUCUGUGUGCAUGCAUCCGGAUCACAUGGAUGCGUUCAACGCACAUUUUCUGAAUUGCUUGGUUGAUUAA